rnacentral:rRNA from 1 species
CAAUAGCGUAUAUUAAAGUUGUUGCGGUAAAAAAGCUCGUAGUUGGAUUUCUACCGAAGAUAGCCGGUCGGGUCUUCGACCUUGUAUCUAGUUUUGUCUUUGGUAUCCUCAUAGGGAACGUUUCUGCGCUUUAUUGCGUGGUGCGGUAUCUAUGACUUUUACUUUGAGGAAAUUAGAGUGUUCACGGCAGGCAAACGCCUUGAAUAUAUUAGCAUGGAAUAAUAACAUAGGAUCUUCGUCCUAUUUUGUUGGUUUCUAGGGCUAAGAUAAUGAUUAAUAGGGAUAAUUGGGGGCAUCUGUAUCAACGCGUCAGAGGUGGAAUUCUUGGAUUGCGUUGCGACAAACUACUGCGAAAGCAUUUGCCAAGGGUGUUUUCAUUGA